UCCAAAGGACUCAGAUGACUCGCCUCCC
rnacentral:piRNA from 1 species